AGUUUUAUAGUUUAUUAAAAAUAUUAAAUUGCAAGUUUAAAGAAAAUGUUAAGACUU
rnacentral:tRNA from 1 species